rnacentral:rRNA from 1 species
UACGUAGGGACCGAGCGUUAUCCGGAUUCAUUGGGCGUAAAGAGCUCGUAGGCGGCUAUUCAAGUCGAACGUGAAAUCUCGGAGCUCAACUCCGAGCCUGCGUUCGAUACUGGGUAGCUAGAGUCUGGUAGGGGGAUCUGGAAUUCCUGGUGUAGCGGUGGAAUGCGCAGAUAUCAGGAGGAACACCAAUGGCGAAGGCAGCACUCUGGGACGUGACUGACGCUGAGACGCGAAAGCGUGGGGAGCAAACAGG